UGAUUCUAUUUGUGCACACGGGCUUA
rnacentral:piRNA from 1 species